CCCUUAGAUGUUCUGGGCUGCACGCGUGCUACAAUGAAGCGUCCAACAAGAUGCGAAGCCGAAAGGCUCAGCGGAUCUUUGAAGUCGUUUCGUGACCGGGACAGUUGAUUGCAAUUAUUCGACUCGAACGAGGAAUUCCUUGUAAUCGCGAUUCAUCAUAUCGCGCUGAAUACGUCCCUGCCCUUUGUACACACCGCCCGUCGCUCCUACCGAUUGAGCGAUCCGGUGAAUUAUUUGGAGUGUCCACGCAAGCCAAUCCGUUUACGUGGGUGCGAAAUUUUGUAAACCUUAUCGCUUAGAGGAAGGAAAAGGCGUANCA
rnacentral:rRNA from 1 species